GUGUAGCCAGCCCUUCCCUCAAGCCUGCAGAGAGAGCAGCCACUGUGCUUGCUGGUGUAAGGCACAGAGCACUCUACAACGCUCUGCCCUGCCUCGUUUAGAACUUGACCAGCCAAGCCUGGUCCCAAUGAAUACAGCACACAAACAGCCUUGCCCUCUGUGCCUGCCUCUCCCCCUCUCACCCCUACUCUCCUUUGGCAGAGCAAGAUGCCUUUAGUGUCUCCACAGUCCACCCUCACCUCAGGGUCUUCCUAACCUACAGCUCCUUCCUACCUCAGCAUUCAGUCCCUUCCACAAUCCUAGAAGCUCUGCAUUUGCCACUUAGCAUGUGAAAUUCUCCACUGACACUUUCGCCAGUCCCUGACGCACAUAAGACUGACUAGGUUACCCCUCAAGGAAGGG
rnacentral:lncRNA from 1 species